UGGGGAAUAUUCCACAAUCGGCGCAAGCCUGAUGCAGCCAUGCCGCGUGUAUGAAGAAGGCCUUCGGGUUGUAAAGUACUUUCAGCGGGUAGGAAGGGAGUAAAGUUAAUACCUUUGCUCAUUGACGUUACCCGCAGAAGAAGCACCGGCUAACUCCGUGCCAGCAGCCGCGGUAAUACGGAGGGUGCAAGCGUUAAUCGGCAUUACUGGGCGUAAAGCGCACGCAGGCGGUUUGUUAAGUCAGAUGUGAAGUCCCCGGGCUCAACCUGGGAACUGCAUCUGAUAAUAGCAAGCUUGAGUCUCGUAGAGGGGGGUAGAAUUCCAGGUGUAGCGGUGAUAUGCGUCGAGGUCAGGAGGAGUACCGGUGGCGAAGGCGGCCCCCUGGACAAAGACUGACGCUCAGGUGCGAAAGCGUGGGGAGCAAACAGG
rnacentral:rRNA from 1 species